UACGAGGGGGGCAAGCGUUGUUCGGAUUUAUUGGGCGUAAAGAGCGUGUAGGCGGCCAUACAGGUCAGCUGUGAAAACUCGAGGCUCAACCUCGAGACGUCGGUUGAAACCGUAUGGCUAGAGUCCGGAAGAGGAGAGUGGAAUUCCCGGUGUAGCGGUGAAAUGCGCAGAUAUCGGGAAGAACACCCAUGGCGAAGGCAGCUCUCUGGGACGGUACUGACGCUGAGACGCGAAAGCGUGGGGAGCGAACAGG
rnacentral:rRNA from 1 species